UCACAUUUCUCACCUCACUCGUUGUCCUCACACAGCCUCUGAAUGAGCAUUGCUGCUCUGUUACUACUUGCAACCUCUUGGUACACCUGACGGUUGUGAAAGGAAAUUUCCCUCCAGAGUCUGAUUUGGCAAACUGACGUAUUAUUGAAGGAGCUCAUUUAUUGCAUCCGUGUUCCCUUUCACAAGGGCGUGAACAAGUCGGGCCCAUAUCUGGCGUUGCCGUGUCUGUUUUAUUACUCGCUGACAGAGAGGGAGAGCAGGCCUACCUUUUCCCUGAAAGGACGUGGCAGCAGCCGGCAACAUGUGCAAGCCGAAAUGUCAACGGACGAUGUGGGUGGGAACAUGAAAAAAGGUUGCAACAGUAGCACUUGCACAAUAUGAUGGUACCUGUGUGCGUAUGGAGCCUACCCGGGGGCCAACCUCCUCAUACCUUCAGCCCAGACCUCCUCGGCCCCUGCGUGUCCAGGCUCGUUAUGCGUGGAGGUGUCUCGGGGAC